UUUUGUUUCUUUCAGAGCAAAGAACAGAUAAACCCUGGUGUAAUCGGAGUCUGCGCCACUUUUCAGAGAAAAAGAACACCUUUUUUUCAGCCAGAAAACUAUGGAUCUCCUCUUUUUCUUACGGUCUCUAUUGAUUUUGUUUCCCUAUUUUUGCAGAUCUUUUCUUCUUUUUGUCCAAUUUUUGCACUCUAUUUCCUCUUUUUUUUCCUUGUUAAUUCCUCGAUUUUGUUUUGGAUGAAGACUUAUGUGAGAUCUCAUCCCAGGCUACAACUCCUCUUCUCCAAGUUUGAAAAGGAUGCAAACUGUUGGAAAUCCCUCGUUAGUGGAGUGAAAAGGUGUAGCUGGUGUUGAUUGGCAGCAAUAAUUCUUCUCCAUUUCGAUGUGCACUGUGUGCAUGUGUGUGUGCUUGUGUCGCACCAAAGAGACACAGAGAGAAGAGAAUUUAAUUGAGACUUGUUGUCAUCUGUAACCUGUUUGUACCUUGAACUGACGAAAUUAUGUUAAUGAAAAUUUCAUUCAUUUCAAAAAGUUA